AGAAUCAACGCUGGCGGCGUGCCUCAGACAUGCAAGUCGAACGAUUAAAGCUCCCUUCGGGGAGUGCAUAAAGUGGCGCACGGGUGAGUAACACGUAAGUAAUCUACCCUCGGGUGGGGAAUAACGUCCGGAAACGGACGCUAAUACCGCAUAAUGCAGCGGCACCGCAAGGUGACAGUUGUUAAAGAUUUAUUGCCUGGGGAGGAGCUUGCGGCAGAUUAGCUUGUUGGUAAGGUAACGGCUUACCAAGGCUACGAUCUGUAUCCGGUCUAAGAGGACGGUCGGACACACUGACACUGAAUAACGGGUCAGACUCCUACGGGAGGCAGCGAGUCGGGAAUUUUGGGCAAGUGGGGGAAACCUGACCCAGCAACGCCGCGUGAAGGAUGAAGUAUUUCGGUAUGUAAACUUCGAAAGAAUAGGAAGAAUUAAUGACGGUACUAUUUAUAAGGUCCGACUAACUACGUGACAGCAGCCGC
rnacentral:rRNA from 1 species